AGCUAAUAGAUACCCCGGUAGUCCACGCCCUAAACGAUGUCUACUAGUUGUUGGUGGAGUAAAAUCCAUGAGUAAACGCAGCUAAACGCGUGAAGUAGACCGCCUGGGGAGUACGGUCGCAAGAUUAAAACUCAAAGGAAUUGACGGGGGCCCGCACAAGCGGUGGAUUAUGUGGAUUAAAUUCGAUGCAACGCGAAAAACCUUACCUGGCCUUGACAUGCCACUAACGAAGCAGAGAUGCAUUAGGUGCCCGUAAGGGAAAGUGGACACAGGUGCUGCAUGGCUGUCGUCGGCUCGUGUCGUGAGAUGUUGGGUUAAGUCCCGCAACGAGCGCAACCCUUGCCAUUAAUUGCCAUCAUUUAGUUGGGCACUUUAAUGGGACUGCCGGUGACAAACCGGAGGAAGGUGGGGAUGACGUCAAGUCCUCAUGGCCCUUAUGGCCAGGGCUUCACACGUAAUACAAUGGUCGGUACAGAGAGUUGCCAACCCGCGAGGGGGUAGCUAAUCUCAGAAAGCCGAUCGUAGUCCGGAUUGUUCU
rnacentral:rRNA from 1 species